rnacentral:rRNA from 1 species
AUUGAACGCUAGCGGCAGGCUUAACACAUGCAAGUCGAACGAGUGGCGGACGGGUGAGUAAUGUCUGGGAACCUGCCUACUGGCGGGGGAUAACUACUGGAAACGGUAGCUAAUACCGCAUACUAUUAGAUGUGCCCAUAUGGGAUUAGCUUGUUGGUGGGGUAACGGCUCACCAAGGCGACGAUCCAUAGCUGGUCUGAGAGGACGACCAGCCACACUGGGACGUGGACACGGCCCAGACUCCUACGGUAGGCAGCAGUGGGGAAGUUGGCACAAUGGGGGAAACCCUGAUGCAGCCAUGCCGCGUGUAUGAAGAGGGCCGUCGUGUUGUAAAGUACUUUCAGCGGGGAGGCGUUAUCCGCAGAAGAAGCACCGGCUAACUCCGUGCCAGCCGCCGCGGUAAUAC